rnacentral:tRNA from 1 species
GGUGUUGUAGCUCAGUGGGUGAGCACUUGUCUUGCACACAUGAGGCACUGGGUUCAAUCCUCCGCACCA